rnacentral:rRNA from 1 species
UACGUAGGGUGCAAGCGUUGUCCGGAAUUAUUGGGCGUAAAGAGCUUGUAGGCGGUUUGUCGCGUCUGCUGUGAAAUUUCGGGGCUCAACCCCGAACUUGCAGUGGGUACGGGCAGACUAGAGUGUGGUAGGGGAGACUGGAAUUCCUGGUGUAGCGGUGAAAUGCGCAGAUAUCGAGAGGAACACCUGCGGCGAAGGCGGCUCUCUGGGACGGUACUGACGCUGAGACGCGAAAGCGUGGGGAGCGAACAGG